rnacentral:rRNA from 1 species
AGGAACAUACAUCCCCUAUCCGCCCGGGUACUACAAGCAUUAGCUUAAAACCCAAAGGANUUGGCGGUACUUUAGAUCCCCCUAGAGGAGCCUGUUCUGUAACCGAUAACCCNNUUCAACCUCACCCUCCCUUGUUUAUCCCGCUAUAUACCGCCGUCGUCAGCUUACCUGUGAGACUAAUAGUAAGCAAAAUUGCAUCGCCAGAACGUCAGGUCCAGGUNUAGCGCAUGAGAGGGGAAGAAAUGGGCUACAUUCGCUAACGUAGCGAAUACGAACGAUGUACUGAAAACGUACAUCCGAAGGAGGAUUUAGCAGUAAGUGGAAAAUAGAGUG